rnacentral:lncRNA from 1 species
UUUCUGACUGCGUGAUUCUGAAACACCUUCACAGUGUUAUUCAUUGUGGUGAAGGAUGGUUUCUGAUCAAUAGAGGACGUGUAGAUAAAAUAACCGAUCAAUGAAUGUAAAUUUUAUUCCUCAGGUGGUUGCUAAGUGUGACUGAGGAUCCUGAAUGGCACCCCACUUAGAACAAACCUCCAAGAUCUCAGUUGUGCACCUUCAGCUCAACUCUGCUGGUCUGGAUCUUAGGAAGCAUCUGGCACAAACCUCUCAUUUUACAGAUGACAAAACUGAAGUUUUGAGAGGUAGGGGUGACUUUCACAUUCAAACAAUUAGGGCAAAUACCAAGGUCACCUGAGUUCAAUUCCCAGGUCUUCUACUAAUAGCUGUGUGAUUUGAGGCCAGUCAUUUAUCUGCUCUGGACCUACUUCUUCUAAAGAUGAGGGCUUGGGGGAUUUAAUACGUUUUUUUUUUCUUUUGGUCCCAACAUUCUUCUCUCCACUGUACUAAAUCUUUGAUUUCAUUUAUUCCAUAGUAAAAAGUAGUUGUUUGGAAGCAGCUGCCCAUCAGGGGUCAUGUUUUGCAGUUUGUUUCCCCUGCCCUCUCACCCCUUGCCUGUAGCUAGGACCAGUUCCUACCAAUUAGAUGUGAUUGAAAAAGAAUGUCAUCCCCAGGCAGAAGCAAUUAGCAAUUAGGUACAUCAUUCCCAUUCUUUCUUUCCCAUCUUCUGACUGGAAUAGACGGACUUAAAGCUCCUCAGGGGUGAUAGAAGAACAAGACAGAAAGGAGAUUUGAAUCACUCCGCAGAAGACUGCCUGUGGAACAACUGCACUGGACCGUCAUGUGUAUAAAAAAUAAACUUCUAUGUCUUAAUUUUUGUUGUUAUUGUUUUUAAAAUUAAUAUUUACCCUAACUGAUGCACCCAAGCAACAGGC